AACAUAAAAAAUAAACAUAUCAUAUAUCAGACUCCACUUCUCUCUCUUUAAGCCCUUUCUCUCAUUCUCACUGUCUCCUCUCUCUCUAAAUCCUAGAUUAAACACCAAAUUGAUACACCUCGCGGUGUCCGUCUCUCACUCUCAUGAUGAAUAUCUCUGAUGUUGUUAUCGCUCCUUUUGGAUUAGGAAUAGGCAGUUUUUUAAAUGUUAUGGUCUACUGUCUUAUUGACUUGUUUUGGUCUGCAAACUACAACUGAAACUAUAAGGAUUCUAGGAUACAAUACUUGGAUUCUACGAUUCUGUGAAGCUGUUGUCGCUAACUUCUGUUUGUCCUGUGACUGAGAAACAAGGCAAAGGUCAAGCGAAUUUCUCUGUCAAAUCUCUCUGUUCAGGUUUUUAUGCACCUUGCUCUCAUCCUUGGCUCUUCUUUUUGGAUCUUUGCCUGUUGAGUCUGCUGAGGAACAAUCGUCUCUUCUAGCUAGAAUUGGUAUCCUGUUCCCGACAUUUUUCUCAACAUAAGUUUCUUUGCAGUUGAGCAAAGCCUAGUUAAGGCAUAAGCUAAGAAGGUAGAGUAAUAUACCUUUUUCACACAAAUUGCUACUUAAUUUCAUGAAUCAGUAAAAGCUAUGAUUACUUUUUGCUUCUUCCUGAAUUUAUAUUAAAUUUAAAAAAAAUGAGUAGUUCAAAAGUACACCCAAUAAGAGUUGUGGUAGAAUAAUAAAUGUUGAAAAAAAUUCAUGAAUAACUAUUGAAACUAAGUGAAGCAUUGAAAAGUAAUGGUACUUUAAGCCAUGAAAUGUAUGAAAACUACAUUGUUAGUGUUUUUUUCUUUUGUUAUUGUUUUGGUUCUCAUGUUUUUGUUUCUCUUCUCUGUUAUUAUUGUGUGGCGUUCUUGUGUAGAUGAAAAAUGAAGAUCGUACAUGGAUGUAUAAUAGAACUUAUCCUAACCGUGUGGGAUUGAGGGAGGAAAAUAAAGUUGGGGUAGCUGGAUUUAUUGCUAAAGCAAUGACACUUGAUGAUUUUCUUACUGAAGGGACAAUUAGGUGUCCUUGUUGGAAUUGCAAGUGUUGCAAGUUAUUAAGUCCAGAUGUUGUUACAUUACAUCUUUAUAGGAAGGGUUUUAUGGUGAAUUAUACUGUGUGGACAGCCCAUGGAAAGAAUAGUGAUGCUAAUGAUUUUGCUUUUCAGAAUUAUGUUGAAAGUCCAAUAAGAAAGAAUAAUAUUGAACGUUCACGAUAUAGUGAGAUGAUCAGGGAUGCUUUUGGGACACACUCAAGGGCUUAAAAUGAACCAAAUAAUAAGGCUAAGCACUUUUAUGAACAGUUACAGGAAGCUUGUCAUCCAUUGUAUGAAGGAUCGGUGCAUUCUAAGUUAUAUGUUGUUGUUCGGCUACUGAGUAUUAAAUCAGAUCAUUCUAUUUCUCAAGAGGGCACGAAUUCUAUUAUUGGACUUAUGAAUGAACUUAACCCAAAUAAACUUGACUUACACCAAGAUUUCUACACAACAAAGAAGUUGAUUUCUAAAUUAGGACUAUCAUCAGAGAGGAUUCAUUAUUAUGAGAAAGGUUGCAUGCUAUUCUAUAAGAAAGAUGCAAAUUUAGAACAUUGCAAAUUUUGUAAUCAGCCUCAUUAUAAGGAAGUCACACAUGCCAAAGGGAAGAAGGUUUCUGUGAAGUCAAUGCACUACUUACCCCUUAUACCACGGUUAAAGAGGUUGUAUGCAUCAAUGAGUUCUUCCUCUCAUAUGAGAUGGCACUAUGAAAAUAAAAGACCACCUGGUGUUUUAUGUCAUCCGUCAGAUUGAGAAGCAUGGAAGCAUUUUGAUAGUGUGUAUCCGGAUUUUGCUAGUGAACCAAGAAACAUUAGGUUGAGAUUAUCUACUGAUGGAGAAGGAACAUCUAGGACAAAUGACGAAGAAGAUCCAACUGAUGAAAAUGAAAUAAGCGAGGAAGAGCUACUUGAUGAAAAUGAAACAAGUGAUGAGAAAGAUUCCAUGGAUGAAUAUGGAUCAAGUGAUGAGGAAGAAUUGAUGAAUGACUAUGAAACAAACGAUGAGGAUUGAGCUGGUAUUAAUAGUAGUAUGUAGUAACAAGGUCUUGAAUUGUAUUUUAGCUGCUGCUUUUUGCUAUUUUACUUGACAAUAUAGUGUCUUUUCUUUGUUAACAUUUGUAGUGUUAGUAUGAACAUUCAGGUUGUUGUAGUAGUGUAGAAAGAAUUGAAGUAGUAUCAUGUACUCAUAGCUUUAUGCUAGGUAUAUGUGCAAAGUUAUUAGCUGUCUGGAACUGUAAGCAUUCUAUCCUCAGUUUUCUGGUUGAAUAUUGAUUAUUGAACGUGUUUGGUGCUUAUUAUGUGCAAGGAGUAUCUUGAAGUAACCCAAGUUUAACUUAUGCGGUGUAGUAAUGAUUACUGCAACAAUAGUAUCUCAUCGCACAUUAUAUAAACUCUUAUUUGAUUGUACCGGGUAUUGCAUAGAAUUACUACCUAUAGAGAAUAAUUUAUUUGGCUCAGAUGAGUAUCUGCUUGAAUACUGAAUUACAGAUAUUGUUAAUUCUGGAUUAAUUUAUGCUUUAGUGCUUCAUGUGUGUUGUGUACCUUAUGAUGUUUUGAUUGUACUGGAUAUUGCGUAACGGUGUUAUCUCCGGGCUUCACGUGUUGUACCUUCUGCUGUUUUAAUUAUUCCAGAAAUUGUAGAUAUUGUAUCAUUGAUAAAAUAGGGUACUAAACUCUAGAGCAGUUUUCGUCUAGCCGGAUGACUAUCUGUUUUAUGUGUUGUACAUUCUGCAAUUCUAGUUGUACAAGAUUUUGCAUUGUAGUGUUAACUGUAAUUCAAGGCAGUUCUAAUUUGGUGAACAAUGCUGCCUAUGAGGUUAUUCACAGUGUUUACUGAUUCUAGACUCAUUUUUACUGACGGCAAGCUGCUUACUAUUAUUUGCAACACUACUGUUAUAAGUGAACCCCCUGACCUGCCUCCUCCUAUGGUACUUGCAUUUGAGCUGCUGCUGCAUGAUGCUGCCUCCGUGUCUAGUUGCCGUCCGUCUGGUGAUAUUGUGAACCCUGAGGGAAGUAAUGGGAUAUAUGUAGGGUCCUCACCGCUCAUCGCUAUGUUGAUGGCACUGGGCUAUACACUACUAGUGCCCUUGAUGAGUCUAGUGUUUUAGUGUGGAUAAAGUAAUUGAUAAGUAUUUAACUUGUAGAAAUACCAAUUGAUAGUUAGUCUUUGGUAGAUAUAGAAUAGAAAGUAUUAAAAAAAUUGAAUUACUUCUGAGCAUUUGGUUGGAACACUUCCUUUGUAUUUUUUUCUCUUUUUUGGAUGGAUCUCUGUAGGCUAUAUGUGACACCAUAUGAAAGAACAAGGAGUUUAAGAUAUUACACUUUCAAUUAUAUUUUCUAAGUGGUCUCGAAACAAAUAUUAAAAUGUUUUAAUCCUGGGAUUCUACAACAACUUGUUCAGAGAGACAAAGAAGUGGAGAUCAGGAUAUUAUGUUGGGGAUUUGCAGUAUAGUAUAGUACUGUUGUUGUAGCUAAAGAAAGUGAAAUUUUAUACUAUAGGUUAACCAUAUGCAGAUUUUUGGUGUCAUUUUAAUGCCUUAGAUUUAAAGACUGCAUUGCAAAAUACAAAUUUAAGGGAAGGGGAGGUAUCCAGUCAUUAGAACCAUUUCUUUGUCAGUAUAUUUCUUUGUCCAAAAAUGACAGUAUUUCCUAUAGCGCCAUCUUUGUCCUUCUAUUUCAUAGAACUCCCGGCCUAAUUGUUUAAAGUAUAUAUCUACCUACCUUCUAACAAACAUGGAUAUUCUUAAAUUUGGUUGUUCCUUCUUUUUCAAGUGGCUAGUAAAGAAAAUCAUGGCAUCAAAAGGUAAUGUUAAUGUACGACGUAAGAAAAGUAAGAAAGGAACUGAUAAUAUUCCUACAGGUCAAUGUACACUACCACCACCUGUUACCACAUUUAUUCAACCAUCCACUACAAAUAUUCCUCCCCCUCCACAUUUUUUAUGCCUCCACCGUUUGAUCAGUUGCAAACCUCUUCAUUUCAAAAUAGUUUUCAUAGUAGCGCUUCAUCUGUGCCUUCUACAUCAUCCGUACGAAGCCUUUCUGGGUUGAGAGUUGGAUGUCCUAACGUACCAACAUCGCCAUCUAUUGAUAGUGCUACAACGCCUAAUGCUACAACUGCUACUCUCAGAAUUUGUAAUUUAAAGAGGUAUUAGAAUAUGACAAUGUUGGGAGGUUACGAAUCAUCCCUUAUCGUAAUGGGUAAGUAACACUUAAGUUUUCCUUAAUUUUUAAUAGCUAAGAUGAUGGUUUAAUAUAAUCUUAUUGCAGGUUCAUUCCAGCAUAUACCGCCGGGCAUACGGUUAUUGAAGCAACCAAACCAUUUUUCAUAAAGCCGUGGAAUAGUUGGUUGGAUAUUCCAUGGGAAAUUAGAAUUGUCAUGUGGAGACAAUUUAUUGUAUAAGCAGUUUUAUAAGCUAUGAAUCUCAUUAACUAAAGAUAGUUUUUUCAUUUUAUCCAUUAACUCAUUUUAUGACUUUAUAUUAAACUAUUUUGCAGACGAGUGAUUGUCAUGAUAAUGAAGUAGACCGCAUUUUUCAGUUAAAAGCAGCUCUACGGAUCAAAGAACACUUGUAUGAGGCCCAGAGGAAAUUGAUAAAACCUGGUUGGUUGAAUGAUGAAGUAUGGACUCAGUUCUUGAUAUUAUGGGACACUCCUGAAUUUAAGUCAAAGAGGGAACGAGGAAAGGCAAAUCAAGCCUCUAAAACAGGUGGCUCGCUACACACCGGAGGUUCUAUGAGUUUCGCUACCCACCAAAGAAGACUAGUAUUUUUGUUGUCCAACUACUUUAUCCAUUUAUACGUGAUACCCUUUUAUCCAUUUACUGUGUUGAUAGAAGUUACAUAAAGUGGCAGUGAUGAGGGUGUUUCUAUUUUUGGGCUAACCAUUUCUGGCAUGGAAGUACCCAACCCAUAUCUUGGUGUGGCAACACUGUGUAUGCCCUGUGAUUGAGGCUUCUCUCUCCCUUACAAUCAGUGUUUGCAGCCAUGGGGUGGCUGGAUUCUGUUUUGCCUUUUCGUGGAACACAUCUGAGCCCCAUUUUUAUGAAAAGAGUGAAAAAAGUAAUCUUUUUCGUGAUUUAUUCUACACCCCACACCAACAUAUGACUUCUUCCUCUUCUAUUUUCUGCUACUUAUUACUAACUUGCAGAAAGUAGCUUAACUCUUUUUUCACUUUGAGUACCUAGAAAAUAUAGGAUAGUUCCUAUAGGACCAGUCACAGGGCUAUAGUAUAUGAUUGAGCCUUAGUAGUAGUUCACUAGUUCUUGUUGAUGCGAUUUCUUCAAAAAAGUGAGUUAAUUUGUGGAUUUAACGUGCUUAUGUUGUUGGAUUAUGUAGUGUUCAGAAUUUGUGCAGCUUUCAGUACAAGUUUUAAGUUAGGAUAUCAAUGUUCUGAAAGCAAACAGGCACUCCAACCACUUUACCCAUUUACACGUGAUACCCCUUUAUCCAUUUAUAUAAGAGUUUGGUGACAUAUACUGAUGUUGAGACGCAAUACUAAUAUAUUGGUAUGUGAAAACAUACAUCCACAUAAUGCAUAAGCCACAUAAUCAGAGAACCUAUUGUUCUCUCCCUGUUUUAGUUCCAUUCUAUGGCUACAGAAACUAGUUUCACCAUUGAUAACCAAACAAACCAACAGCCCUUUGAAAUAAAUAGAAAGGAAAAAAGAUUUAACGCAGUUCUUUGUGUUACUCUUACUGCUGAUAAUGAUGUUAUAAAGGGGUUGUGAUGAUUGCAUCCUUGAUUUCUGGACUAUGUUCAAUCAUAGCAUCGAGAAUAACACGUCCCAUAUAUUGGCAGGGCGACCCGGUUAUGGCUUUGAAUAGAAAAGUGCUGGUGUCUGGAGCCAUGGCAAUGUUGCUCCUCUUUUGCUUUGUUCUAAAAUAGCAAAUCUGAGCCCGCUAUUACCUGUUUUUUUUUCUCUUGGAUGGUGAUUCUUGUCGAGUCGGAAAACCAACAGAUCCUUGUGGUCCGGUCCUUCUCAGAAACUCGUGUACAAUAAGAUUUUAAUACACUUAACUGCAUUUUUUAAACUAGGACAGUCUUUUUUUUUGUGUGUGUAUGUGUUACUGUGUUGAUAGAAGUUACAUAAAGUGGCAGUGAUGAGGGUGUUUCUGUUUUUGGGCUAACCAUUUCUAGCAUGGAAGUACCCAACCCAUAUCUUGGUGUGGCAACACGGUGUAUGCCCUGUGAUUGAGGCUUCUCUCUCCCCUAAAAUCAGUGUUUGCAGCCAUGGGGUGGCUGGAUUCUGUUUUGCCUUUUCGUGGAACACAUCUGAGCCCCAUUUUCAUGAAAAGAGUGAAAAAAAGUAAUCUUUUUCGUGAUUUAUUCUACAUCCCACACCAACACAUAACUUCUUCCUCUUUUAUUUUCUGCUACUUAUUACUAACUUGCAGAAAGUAGCUUAACUCUUUUUUCACUUUGAGUACCUAGAAAAUACAGGGUAGUUCCUAUAGGACCAGUCACAGGGCUAUAGUAUAUGAUGAGCCUUAUUUCACUAGUCCUUGUUGAUGAGAUUUCUUGAAACAAGUGAGUUAAUUUGUGGAUUUAAAGUACUUAUGUUGUUGGAUUAUGUAGUGUUUAGAAUUUGUGCAGCUUUCAGUACAAGUUUUAAUAAGUUAGGAUAUCAAUGUUCUGAAAGCAAACAGGUACUCCAGAUAUAGCUGAACUUUUACAAUAGCAUUUACCUAUAUAUGGGUAAAAUUUUGCAGAACUUCUUAAAUGGGGGAGUAGCUGUACCUAUUCCUAAGACCUUCGAAGAGACACAUAAGAAGAAAAAUCCGACGGUACAAGAGAAGAAUGGGUCGAACCGCGUGCUAAGGAUGCAUAUGAAGGAUUUCAAAAAAGCAUUGAAAAUUGGCGUCAAACCCAACCUGUUUCAGAGGAUGGUACCAUGGUCCAACCAUCACCUGAUGAUAUGAAUAGAAUGUGGACAAAUGUGGUAGAUGGUCCAAAAAAGGGUAACACCUACGGGCUUGGAGGUAACCAAUCCUCGAGUAGUUCUUCCCCAAUGCUGCCCAACUUUGCUUCUAUUUCGCAAAAUGCGAAAGAAAUGGAAACGAUGAGAACAAAAAUUGAAGAGUUGACGCAACACUGUGCCGAAUUUGCCAAGUUUGAAGCGUUAGUCAAGAAGCAUAUGCCGCAAGUAUUUGAGGAUGGGGAAGAUAGUGCAGAUGAUUAGAUUGUAGUGGUUGGUUUUUGUUUAUGAUUGUGACAUUUAAACUUAGAAUAUUAGAAUUGGUGUUUGUUUUGGAUUGUGACGUUUCGAUCGACUUGUCUUGAAAUGCUUAAACUAUUUGAUUC